rnacentral:rRNA from 1 species
UGGGGAAUCUUGGACAAUGGGCGCAAGCCUGAUCCAGCCAUGCCGCGUGAGUGACGAAGGUCUUCGGAUUGUAAAGCUCUUUUAGCAGGGAAGAUAAUGACGGUACCUGCAGAAUAAGCCCCGGCUAACUUCGUGCCAGCAGCCGCGGUAAUACGAAGGGGGCUAGCGUUGUUCGGAAUUACUGGGCGUAAAGCGCACGUAGGCGGAUUGAUAAGUUAGAGGUGAAAUCCCGGGGCUCAACCUCGGAACUGCCUUUGAUACUGUUAGUCUCGAGUCCGAUAGAGGUGAGUGGAAUUCCUAGUGUAGAGGUGAAAUUCGUAGAUAUUAGGAAGAACACCAGUGGCGAAGGCGGCUCACUGGAUCGGUACUGACGCUGAGGUGCGAAAGCGUGGGGAGCAAACAGGAUUAGAUACCCCCGUAGUCCCUGAGCGGGCUGGCAAGGCGCAU